AUUGAACGCUGGCAGCAGGCUUAACACAUGCAAGUCGAGCGGAGUGAUGGUGCUUGCACUAUCACUUAGCGGCGGACGGGUGAGUAAUGCUUAGGAAUCUGCCUAUUAGUGGGGGACAACAUCUCGAAAGGGAUGCUAAUACCGCAUACGUCCUACGGGAGAAAGCAGGGGAUCACUUGUGACCUUGCGCUAAUAGAUGAGCCUAAGUCGGAUCAGCUAGUUGGUGGGGUAAAGGCCUACCAAGGCGACGAUCUGUAGCGGGUCUGAGAGGAUGAUCCGCCACAGUGGGACUGAGACACGGCCCAGACUCCGACGGGAGGCAGCAGUGGGGAAUAUUGGACAAUGGGGGGAACCCUGAUCCAGCCAUGCCGCGUGUGUGAAGAAGGCCUUAUGGUUGUAAAGCACUUUAAGCGAGGAGGAGGCUCUUUUGGUUAAUACCCAAGAUGAGUGGACGUUACUCGCAGAAUAAGCACCGGCUAACUCUGUGCCAGCCGCCGCCGUAA
rnacentral:rRNA from 1 species